GGCAGGUUGGCCCAGUGGCGACGGCAGUGGCCUGUAAAUCCACGACAUUGAAACAACGCGGGUUCGAGUCCCGCACCUGCCA
rnacentral:tRNA from 3 species